AUUGAACGCUGGCGGCAUGCUUUACACAUGCAAGUCGAACGGCAGCGCGGGCUUCGGCCUGGCGGCGAGUGGCGAACGGGUGAGUAAUACAUCGGAACGUGCCCAGUAGUGGGGGAUAGCUCGGCGAAAGCCGGAUUAAUACCGCAUACGACCUGAGGGUGAAAUCUUUUUAUCUUCUGACCUCGCGCUAUUGGAGCGGCCGAUGGCAGAUUAGCUAGUUGGUGGGGUAAAGGCCUACCAAGGCGACGAUCUGUAGCUGGUCUGAGAGGACGACCAGCCACACUGGGACUGAGACACGGCCCAGACUCCUACGGGAGGCAGCAGUGGGGAAUUUUGGAAAAUGGGAGAAAGAAUGAUAAAGAAAUGACGCGUGUGUGAUGAAGGCCUUCGGGUUGUAAAGCACUUUUGGCGGGAACGAAAAGGACUGUGAAAAUAAAAAGGUUCGAUGAAGGUAAAAGAAGAAUAAGAAACGGCUAAAUAAGUG
rnacentral:rRNA from 1 species